CCUAAAACCUAAACCGUAAACCUUAAAUCCUAAAUCCUAAACCCUAAACCCUAAACCCUAAACCCUAAACACUAAACU
rnacentral:sRNA from 1 species